AGAGCGAACGCUGGCGGCAGGCUUAACACAUGCAAGUCGAGCGGGCGUAGCAAUACGUCAGCGGCAGACGGGUGAGUAACGCGUGGGAACGUACCUUUUGGUUCGGAACAACCCAGGGAAACUUGGGCUAAUACCGGAUAAGCCCUUACGGGGAAAGAUUUAUCGCCGAAAGAUCGGCCCGCGUCUGAUUAGCUAGUUGGUGAGGUAAUGGCUCACCAAGGCGACGAUCAGUAGCUGGUCUGAGAGGAUGAUCAGCCACAUUGGGACUGAGACACGGCCCAAACUCCUACGGGAGGCAGCAGUGGGGAAUAUUGGACAAUGGGCGCAAGCCUGAUCCAGCCAUGCCGCGUGAGUGAUGAAGGCCCUAGGGUUGUAAAGGCUCUUUUGUGCGGGAAGAUAAUGACGGUACCGCAAGAAUAAGCCCCGGCUAACUUCGCGCCAGCAGCCGC
rnacentral:rRNA from 1 species